rnacentral:rRNA from 1 species
UACGUAGGGGGCAAGCGUUGUCCGGAAUCAUUGGGCGUAAAGAGCGUGUAGGCGGCCCGAUAAGUCCGCCGUGAAAGUCCAGGGCUCAACCCUGGAAUGCCGGUGGAAACUGUCGGGCUGGAGUCCGGAAGAGGCGAGUGGAAUUCCUGGUGUAGCGGUGAAAUGCGCAGAUAUCAGGAGGAACACCAAUGGCGAAGGCGGUUCUCUGGGCCUUACCUGACGCUGGAGGAGCGAAAGCGUGGGGAGCGAACAGG